rnacentral:rRNA from 1 species
CAUAACCCCGGGAAACUGGGGAUAAUACCGGAUAUGUGGGGCUGCCUGGAAUGGUACCUCAUUGAAAUGCUCCGGCGCCUAAGGAUGGAUCUGCGGCAGAUUAGGUAGUUGGCGGGGUAAAUGCCCACCAAGCCAGUAAUCUGUACGGGUUGUGAGAGCAAGAGCCCGGAGAUGGAACCUGAGACAAGGUUCCAGGCCCUACGGGGCACAGCAGGCGCGAAACCUCCGCAAUGCGAGCAAUCGCGACGGGGGAGACCCAAGUACCACUCUUAACGGGGUGGUUUUUCUGAAGUGUAAAAAGCUUCAGGAAUAAGAGCUGGGCAAGACCGGUGCCAGCCGCCGCGGUAACACCGGCAGCUCGAGUGGUGGCCGUUUUUAUUGGGUCUAAAGGGUCUGUAGCCGGCCGGAUAAGUCUCUUGAGAAAUCUGGCAGCUUAACUGUCAGGCUUUCAGGAGAUACUGUCUGGCUCGAGGCCGGGAGAGGUGAGAGGUACUUCAGGGGUAGGGGUGAAAUCUUGUAAUCCUUGAAGGACCACCAGUGGCGAAGGCGUCUCACCAGAACGGACCUGACGGCAAGGGACGAAAGCUAGGGGCACGAACCGGAUUAGAUACCCGGGUAGUCCUAGCCGUAAACGAUACUCGCUAGGUGUCGGCCACGGUGCGACCGUUGUCGGUGCCGUAGGGAAGCCGUGAAGCGAGCCACCUGGGAAGUACGGCCGCAAGGCUGAAACUUAAAGGAAUUGGCGGGGGAGCACCACAACGGGUGGAGCUUGCGGUUUAAUUGGAUUCAACGCCGGGAAAUCUUACCGGGACCGACAGCAAUAUGAAGGCCAGGCUGAAGACUUUGCCGGAUUAGCUGAGAGGUGGUGCAU